AGAGUUUGAUCCUGGCUCAGGGCGAACGCUGGCGGCAGGCCUAACACAUGCAAGUCGAACGGAUCCUUCGGGAUUAGUGGCGGACGGGUGAGUAACACGUGGGAACGUGCCCUUUGGUUCGGAACAACUCAGGGAAACUUGAGCUAAUACCGGAUGUGCCCUUCGGGGGAAAGAUUUAUCGCCAUUGGAGCGGCCCGCGUCUGAUUAGCUAGUUGGUGGGGUAAAGGCCCACCAAGGCGACGAUCAGUAGCUGGUCUGAGAGGAUGAUCAGCCACAUUGGGACUGAGACACGGCCCAAACUCCUACGGGAGGCAGCAGUGGGGAAUCUUGCGCAAUGGGCGAAAGCCUGACGCAGCCAUGCCGCGUGAAUGAUGAAGGUCUUAGGAUUGUAAAAUUCUUUCACCGGGGACGAUAAUGACGGUGCCCGGAGAAGAAGCCCCGGCUAACUUCGUGCCAGCAGCCGCGGUAAUACGAAGGGGGCUAGCGUUGCUCGGAAUUACUGGGCGUAAAGGGAGCGUAGGCGGACUGUUAAGUUAGAGGUGAAAGCCCAGGGCUCAACCUUGGAAUUGCCUUUGAUACUGGCAGUCUUGAGUACGGAAGAGGUAUGU
rnacentral:rRNA from 1 species